CAUAUAUUAAAUAACUGUU
rnacentral:rRNA from 1 species